rnacentral:rRNA from 1 species
UACGGAGGAUCCAAGCGUUAUCCGGAUUUAUUGGGUUUAAAGGGUGCGUAGGCGGCUUGUUAAGUCAGGGGUGAAAGACGGUGGCUCAACCAUCGCAGUGCCUUUGAUACUGAUGAGCUUGAAUACACUUGAGGUAGGCGGAAUGUGACAAGUAGCGGUGAAAUGCAUAGAUAUGUCACAGAACACCAAUUGCGAAGGCAGCUUACUAAGGUGCAAUUGACGCUGAGGCACGAAAGCGUGGGGAUCAAACAGG